GACGAACGCUGGCGGCGUGCUUAACACAUGCAAGUCGAACGGUGAAGCCUUUCGGGGUGGAUCAGUGGCGAACGGGUGAGUAACACGUGGGCAAUCUGCCCUGCACUCUGGGACAAGCCCUGGAAACGGGGUCUAAUACCGGAUAUGACUUCCUGCCGCAUGGUGUGGGGUGGAAAGCUCGGGUGGUGCAGGAUGAGCCCGCGGCCUAUCAGCUUGUUGGUGGGGUGAUGGCCUACCAAGGCGACGACGGGUAGCCGGCCUGAGAGGGCGACCGGCCACACUGGGACUGAGACACGGCCCAGACUCCUACGGGAGGCAGCAGUGGGGAAUAUUGCACAAUGGGCGGAAGCCUGAUGCAGCGACGCCGCGUGGGGGAUGACGGCCUUCGGGUUGUAAACCUCUUUCAGCAGGGAAGAAGCGUGAGUGACGGUACCUGCAGAAGAAGCACCGGCUAACUACGUGCCAGCAGCCGCGGUAA
rnacentral:rRNA from 1 species